GCAGCGGUGGCGGAACUGGUAGACGCGUAAGAUUCAGGAUCUUAUGUCAUUGACAUAUGAGUUCAAAUCUCAUCCGCUGCACCA
rnacentral:tRNA from 1 species